rnacentral:misc_RNA from 1 species
GUAGGUGAACCUGCGGAAGGAUCAUUAACACGUUAUCCACGUAUCAACCAAACCGUGAACUUGAAUCGUAUGCCAGUUACGCUGUCGAGAGGGAGUGAAGAAGGGAUUCUUCUCUCUGCUUUCCCCAGUGUUUUAACUGCCAUCGUUGUUUCAAUUACCAAAAUCACCCCUGAUGUCUUCUCUUUUUCUUCCUCACGGGAGAAGGAGAAAAACAUUGGUUUUCUCUAUAUUUCUUAUUGAAGCUCAGGGCCUUUUGCGGCUUUGUCUUCUAACACAAACUCUGUACAACUCUUAGCAACGGAUAUCUUGGUUUCC